UACGUAGGGGGCAAGCGUUGUCCGGAUUUACUGGGCGUAAAGAGCGUGUAGGCGGCCAAGCAGGUCCGUUUGUGAAAACUGGAGGCUUAACCUCCAGACGUCGACGGAAACCGCGUGGCUAGAGUCCGGAAGAGGAGAGUGGAAUUCCUGGUGUAGCGGUGAAAUGCGCAGAUAUCAGGAAGAACACCAAUGGCGAAGGCAGCUCUCUGGGACGGUACUGACGCUGAGACGCGAAAGCGUGGGGAGCGAACAGG
rnacentral:rRNA from 1 species